CCAAGGGGUGCUGCGGCGAAAGGCCGCGGCUGAGAUGAUACCCUCACUACCUGAUCGGGAUAAUGCCCGCGUAGGAAACCGCU
rnacentral:ncRNA from 1 species